UACAUGCAAGUCGAGCGAACAGAUGAGGAGCUUGCUCCUCUGACGUUAGCGGCGGACGGGUGAGUAACACGUGGAUAACCUACCUAUAAGACUGGGAUAACUACGGGGAACCGGAGCUAAUACCGGAUAAUAUAUUGAACCGCAUGGUUCAAUAGUGAAAGACGGUUUUGCUGUCACUUAUAGAUGGAUCCGCGCCGCAUUAGCUAGUUGGUAAGGUAACGGCUUACCAAGGCAACGAUGCGUAGCCGACCUGAGAGGGUGAUCGGCCACACUGGAACUGAGACACGGUCCAGACUCCUACGGGAGGCAGCAGUAGGGAAUCUUCCGCAAUGGGCGAAAGCCUGACGGAGCAACGCCGCGUGAGUGAUGAAGGUCUUCGGAUCGUAAAACUCUGUUAUUAGGGAAGAACAAAUGUGUAAGUAACUAUGCACGUCUUGACGGUACCUAAUCAGAAAGCCACGGCUAACUACGUGCCAGCAGCCGCGGUAAUACGUAGGUGGCAAGCGUUAUCCGGAAUUAUUGGGCGUAAAGCGCGCGUAGGCGGUUUUUUAAGUCUGAUGUGAAAGCCCACGGCUCAACCGUGGAGGGUCAUUGGAAACUGGAAAACUUGAGUGCAGAAGAGGAAAGUGGAAUUCCAUGUGUAGCGGUGAAAUGCGCAGAGAUAUGGAGGAACACCAGUGGCGA
rnacentral:rRNA from 1 species